GAUGAACGCUAGCGGCAGGCUUAAUACAUGCAAGUCGAGGGGCAGCAUGACUGUAGCAAUACAGUUGAUGGCGACCGGCAAACGGGUGCGGAACACGUACAGAACCUUCCUUCGAGCGGGGAAUAGCCCAGAGAAAUUUGGAUUAAUACCCCAUAGUAUUACGGAGUGGCAUCACUUUGUAAUUAAAGAUUUAUCACUUGAAGAUGGCUGUUCGGCUGAUUAGGUAGUUGGCGGGGUAACGGCCCACCAAGCCUGCGAUCAGUAACUGGUGUGGGAGCACGACCAGUAACACGGGCACUGAGACGCGGGCCCGACUCGUACGGGAGGCAGCAGUAAGGAAUAUUGGUCAAUGGACGAAAGUCUGAACCAGCCAUGCCGCGUGGAGGAUGAAGGUCCUCUGGAUUGUAAACUUCUUUUAUAUGGGACGAAAAAAGGCUUUUCUAAGUCGUCUGACGGUACCAUAUGAAUAAGCACCGGCUAACUCCGUGCCAGCCGCCGCAGUAAAAC
rnacentral:rRNA from 1 species